rnacentral:rRNA from 1 species
CCUACGGGUGGCUGCAGUGAGGAAUAUUGGUCAAUGGGCGCGAGCCUGAACCAGCCAAGUCGCGUGAGGGAUGACGGUCCUACGGAUUGUAAACCUCUUUUGCCGGGGAGCAAGCGUGCGUUCGUGAACGCGCGUCGAGAGUACCCGGAGAAAAAGCAUCGGCUAACUCCGUGCCAGCAGCCGCGGUAAUACGGAGGAUGCGAGCGUUAUCCGGAUUUAUUGGGUUUAAAGGGUGCGCAGGCGGAAUGUCAAGUCAGCGGUAAAAUUUCGGGGCUCAACCCCGUCGUGCCGUUGAAACUGGCGUUCUUGAGUGAGCGAGAAGUAUGCGGAAUGCGUGGUGUAGCGGUGAAAUGCAUAGAUAUCACGCAGAACUCCGAUUGCGAAGGCAGCAUACCGGCGCUCAACUGACGCUCAUGCACGAAAGCGUGGGUAUCGAACAGGAUUAGAUACCCUUGUAGUC